rnacentral:rRNA from 1 species
AAAUUUGGACAAUGGGCGCAAGCCUGAUCCAGCCAUGCUGCGUGAGUGAAGAAGGCCUUCGGGUUGUAAAGCUCUUUCGGACGGAAGGAAAUCGCGCAGGCUAAUACUCUGCGCGGAUGAUGGUUACGUCAUAAGUAGUACAGGCUACAUACGUGAAAUAAGCCGCGGUAAAACGUAUGGUGCGAGCGUUAAUAGGAAUUAAUGGGCGUAAAGCGUGCGCAGGCGGUUGAGUAAGUCAGGCGUGAAAUCCCCGGGCUUAACCUGGAAACUGCGCUUGUGACUGGUCAUCUAGAGUACGGCAGAGGGGGGUGGAAUUACACGUGUAGCAGUGAAAUGCGUAGAGAUGUGGAGGAACACCGAUGGCGAAGGCAGCCCCCUGGGCCGAUACUGACGCUCAUGCACGAAAGCGUGGGUAGCAAACAGG